ACUCCUACGGGAGGCAGCAGUGGGGAAUUUUGGACAAUGGGCGAAAGCCUGAUCCAGCAAUGCCGCGUGCAGGAUGAAGGCCUUCGGGUUGUAAACUGCUUUUGUACGGAACGAAAAAGCUCCUUCUAAUACAGGGGGCCCAUGACGGUACCGUAAGAAUAAGCACCGGCUAACUACGUGCCAGCAGCCGCGGUAAUACGUAGGGUGCGAGCGUUAAUCGGAAUUACUGGGCGUAAAGCGUGCGCAGGCGGUUAUGUAAGACAGAUGUGAAAUCCCCGGGCUCAACCUGGGAACUGCAUUUGUGACUGCAUGGCUAGAGUACGGUAGAGGGGGAUGGAAUUCCGCGUGUAGCAGUGAAAUGCGUAGAUAUGCGGAGGAACACCGAUGGCGAAGGCAAUCCCCUGGACCUGUACUGACGCUCAUGCACGAAAGCGUGGGGAGCAAACAGGAUUAGAAACCCCGGUAGUCCC
rnacentral:rRNA from 1 species